UCUCACUCGUUGAACUUAGAAAUUCUAUAAGCGGAGGAAAAGAACCCACCGGGGAUUCACUUAGCAACGACGAGAGAAGCGACGACAGCUCAACUUUGAAAUCUGGCUCUCUCAGGGUCCGAGUUGUAAUUUGUAGAAGAUGCUACGGGUGUGGUACCGGUCUAAGUUCCUUGGAACAGGACGUCAUAGAGGGUGAGAAUGCCGUAUGUGACUGGUCACCUUCGCUCAUGUGAAGCUCUUUCGACGAGUCGAGUUGUUUGGGAAUGCAGCUCAAAAUGGGUGGUAAAUUUCAUCUAAAGCUAAAUAUUGGCCAGAGACCGAUAGCGCACAAGUAGAGUGAUCGAAAGAUGAAAAGCACUUUGGAAAGAGAGUUAAACAGUACGGGAAAUUGUUGAAAGGGAAGCGCUUGCUACCAGACUUGCACGUAGUUAAUCCUCCGGGGUUCUCCCCGGUGCACUUGGCUACGUUCAGGGCAGCAUCGGUUUCGGUGGUUGGAUAAAGGCCUACUGAAUGUGGCUCUCUUCCGGGAGUGUUAUAGCCCUCGGUGCAAUGCAGCCCACCUGGACCCAAGACCGCCCUUCGGCUAAGAUGGUGGCGUAAUGGUUGUAAGGCACCCGUCUUGGAACACCG
rnacentral:rRNA from 1 species